rnacentral:rRNA from 1 species
AACGCUGGCGGCAGGCUUAACACAUGCAAGUCGAGCGGGGAAGGUUGCUUCGGUAACUGACCUAGCGGCGGACGGGUGAGUAAUGCUUAGGAAUCUGCCAUUUAGUGGGGGACAACAUUCCGAAAGGAAUGCUAAUACCGCAUACGUCCUACGGGAGAAAGCAGGGGAUCUUCGGACCUUGCGCUAAAUGAUGAGCCUAAGUCGGAUUAGCUAGUUGGUGGGGUAAAGGCCUACCAAGGCGACGAUCUGUAGCGGGUCUGAGAGGAUGAUCCGCCACACUGGGACUGAGACACGGCCCAGACUCCUACGGGAGGCAGCAGUGGGGAAUAUUGGACAAUGGGCGCAAGCCUGAUCCAGCCAUGCCGCGUGUGUGAAGAAGGCCUUUUGGUUGUAAAGCACUUUAAGCGAGGAGGAGGCUACCUAGAUUAAUACUCUAGGAUAGUGGACGUUACUCGCAGAAUAAGCACCGGCUAACUCUGUGCCAGCAGCCGCGGUAAUACAGAGGGUGCGAGCGUUAAUCGGAUUUACUGGGCGUAAAGCGUGCGUAGGCGGCUUUUUAAGUCGGAUGUGAAAU